rnacentral:rRNA from 1 species
AUUGAACGCUGGCGGCAGGCCUAACACAUGCAAGUCGAACGAGUGGCGGACGGGUGAGUAAUGUCUGGGAAACUGCCUGAUGGAGGGGGAUAACUACUGGAAACGGUAGCUAAUACCGCAUCACAUCGGCUGUGCCCAGAUGGGAUUAGCUAGUAGGUGGGGUAAAGGCUCACCUAGGCGACGAUCCCUAGCUGGUCUGAGAGGAUGAACAGCCACACGGGAACUGAGACACGGUCCAGACUCCUACGGGAGGCAGCAGUGGGGAAUAGUGCACAAUGGGCGCAAGCCUGAUGCAGCCAUGCCGCGUGUAUGAAGAAGGUCUUCGGAUUGUAAAGCACUUUAAGUUGGGAGGCGUUACCAACAGAAUAAGCACCGGCUAACUGCGUGCCAGCAGCCGCGGUAAUUC